GACGAACGCUGGCGGCGUGCUUAACACAUGCAAGUCGAACGGAAAGGCCCUGCUUUUGUGGGGUGCUCGAGUGGCGAACGGGUGAGUAACACGUGAGUAACCUGCCCUUGACUUUGGGAUAACUUCAGGAAACUGGGGCUAAUACCGGAUAGGAGCUCCUGCUGCAUGUUGGGGGUUGGAAAGUUUCGGCGGUUGGGGAUGGACUCGCGGCUUAUCAGCUUGUUGGUGGGGUAGUGGCUUACCAAGGCUUUGACGGGUAGCCGGCCUGAGAGGGUGACCGGCCACAUUGGGACUGGGAUACGGCCCAGACGCCUACGGGAGGCAGCAUUGGGGAAUAUUGCACAAUGGGCGGAAGCCUGAUGCAGCAACGCCGCGUGCGGGAUGACGGCCUUCGGGUUGUAAACCGCUUUCGCCUGUGACGAAGCGUGAGUGACGGUAAUGGGUAAAGAAGCACCGGCUAACUACGUG
rnacentral:rRNA from 1 species